rnacentral:rRNA from 1 species
AAAACCGUUCUCAGUUCGGAUUGUAGGCUGCAACUUGCCUAUAUGAAGCUGGAAUCGCUAGUAAUCGCGGAUCAGCAUGCCGCGGUGAAUACGUUCCCGGGCCUUGUACACACCGCCCGUCACACCACGAGAGUUUGUAACACCCGAAGUCGGUGGGGUAACCUUUUUGGAGCCAGCCGCCUAAGGUGGGACAGAUGAUUGGGGUGAAGUCGUAACAAGGUAGCCGUAUCGGAAGGUGCGGCUGGAUCACCUCCUUUCUAUGGAGA